GCUGUUUUUAGCCAAAGAAUUACAAGCAAUUCAAUUUCAGAAGUCUCUAAUUGUAAAAUUAUGCUAUAAAGUACAUGAAAUGAUUCUAGCUUCGGCAAACCAAAACUAAUAAACCAUGCGCUGCCGUAUAGUCCUCGGUGAAAUUGUUUGCCCUGGCGUUAUUUAUUCGUUUGUUUGUGCCGGUCAUCAGAGGAGGGCCUGUCCAGGUGGGCCGGGAUCCAGGUCAAGGCGGUGCAUCUGCCAGUGAGCUCCGCGCUCCCACAGUCUCAGCCGUAACUUUUCGAUUAGCUUUGCCAACUCAUUUAACAAAUGGUCUGGCCGACAGUAAGAAAUAUAAGAAAUUCAGUCCGGCCAUCGGAAGGAGCUGGUAGUUUUCAUUGCAACACCUUAGAAUCAUAAAUUGUGACCUGAGCGCCCAGCUGCAGCUGCACGGGGUUGGAAAAGUUUUGCUCAUCCCGAAGUUUGGCUCACUUCCACCUGCAAUCCGGAUCCUCGAGCCCGGAGUUGGCAUUUGGCAAUUGCAUUGUUGCUCCUAUUAUUGUUCUCCGGUUUUCCGGUUUUCGGUCAUUGGCAGCUUGACCUGGUGGUUACGGAGGGUAAAGAGGAGAAAGUCUUGAAUUACAAUACGGGGAAAGUGCGGAAAAGUUUCUCUGAUUGCGUGUCCAAGUGGUCGGACCACCGCUCCUUUUCUGGUUCCUUCUCCAUAUUGAGUGCUCUUGAGUGCGAACGGCACAUUAAUUGUUUUGGCUCUGCCAUUGAGACGGUGGCAAGCUUAUCAAAAGAGAAUCGGUAGGAAUUAUGUGUGUGUGGGUGGCGGAUGGAGAGGAGGAGGCACAAUCCCCAGCCCAGGGCGACACCUCACCUCGAUCACGCAGUCCGCACAACUUGCUUGCGAAAUUGUGCAAUCGGUGCUGAAACAAAGCCCGCUGCCGUCGCCUCAAUAGACUAAAGUAAAUUAAAAAUCUCAUUUAAAUUAAUCCUCGUCAAGGGUCCUCGUCCGCCACUCCAGCUUCCUGCUGAUGGAAAGACGAACGGUUGGCGUUCUCAUCAACGCAUUACUAACAAUUCCACUUUGGACGCGCAACCACAGCAGCUUGUGGUUACUUGGUCGGCGUGGCAGCUCUAGCCGCACAGUGUGUACUCUCGAUCGGAGGAG